rnacentral:rRNA from 1 species
CAUAAUCRUUAGUUUUUUAAUUGAGAACUUGUAUGAAUGGUUGAAUGAGAAAUAGACUUUUUUAAUAGAAAAAUUGAAUUUUACAUUUUAAUUAAAAGGUUAAAAUUAUUUUAAAAGACGAGAAGACCCUAUAGAGUUUUAUAAUUUAUGUUUAAUAUUUUAAAAAAAUUAAUUGAUAUUUUUAUUUUAAUAAAUUAUUUUGUUGGGGUGAUAAUAAAAUUUAAUUAACUUUUAUUUUUUUAUACAUUAAUAUAUGGAAAAUUGAUCCAUUACUAAUGAUUAAAAAAUUAAAUUACCU